rnacentral:lncRNA from 1 species
CUCAAAACAUAAAAAGAAAAUCUCCUUAAGCAACUCCUGAAUGAGCGAUCCUGACUGGAUGGUCCUAGGGCGUCUCUCAUGCUCAAACUCCGGUAAGUAAACCCACACCUGUAUGAGAAAAUUAAGACCAAAUAAAGUUAAAGACCUAGAAUACUAUGCGAGACUAUAACACUUCUUGUUGAACAACAUGCAAGACAUGAUUGAGGCUAUUUUUGUAAAAUGGCUUAUGCGGCCUAAAGAUGGCUAGAAGUGCAAAAUUUGGCUAAGACCCCGCAAAGACAAGAACCUAAGAUUUACUAGGAUGACCGGACCCUAUGUGAGUUGCCUACAUAUCACGCCCCGAAAAACGAGAAUCAGGUAUGCGUAGUUCGGGCAGAUUGGAUACGGGCGAGAAUUAAAAAAACAACUAAUUUAGAGAAAAUAUAUUUUUUGUCUUUUUUUUAAAAUGAUGAAACAUGUAAACUCUUUUUGGAUUUUCUUUUCCCCUUUUUUUUUAUUUUCGGAAAAUGAUGAAAAAGUGCAAAAUUAUAAUUUUUUUUGAAUUUUUCAUUUUUUUUCUUUUUCUCAACAAAAAUGUGAAAGAAAACAUAACUGGGCCCUACUUGCUUUAUUUUCACACUUCACUCUCUUUUUUCUUUUUUUCAUUUGCUCUUAACUAUCAUUGGUCCGCCAAAUGACCCUUUUUACCCUUGAAGAUUGCAACAUAUAGCACAUAGGAUGCAUCCGGAUGGAUUUUUAUUUUUGGGUACACAUGUCCUAGACGGACCCAACCCCUGUGUUGAGUCCCCAAAGUCAAAUGCACAUGAUGUAGACAAACAUGCCUACUAGGGAUCCGGCAUGAGGCUGUGUUUUUCUAGGUGUAAAACCUGGGGUUGUGUUCUAGACCUGGCUUACCCGAGCGGAUAACUCGAGCCAAAGAGAGGGCAACGUACCGGGAGCACUGAAGUCUACACGGCCUUGUUGCUGGCCCAGCCUCAUUCUAUUUGGUAUAACUUCUACAGAAAAGUGGGUCACACGAACGUGUGCACCAUUUUCAGAAGACUAAGAGGGGAGGCGUAAGAAGACAGUUAUAUACAAUUCAAAUAAUAUCAAAACGGUAAAUAGAUAGCAAUUAGCACAAAGGAUCACAAAAUACAGUAAUAUUAACAAUAAAUAAAGCCAAGUAAAAUCAUAUUAACAAGCUCGAAUUCUUGAACCCUGAACCGGAAGUUCUGAGUUCUUAUCCCCAGCAGAGUCGCCAGAGCUGUCACACCUCCUUUUUCUACCCUGAAUAGGGUAUAAGGAAGUUUGUUCCAAUUUAAGUGACAAUCGAAACGGGAUUACUUAUUUAAAAAUCAGAGUCGCCACUUGGGAUAAUUUAUGGUGUCCCAAGUCACCGAUUUAAAAUCCCGAAUCGAGGAAGUUGACUCUUAUUUAUGGUCUGCGAAUACAGAAAUCCGGGUAAGGAAUUCUGUUAACCCAGGAGAAGGUGUUAGGCAAUUCCGAGUUCCGUGGUUCUAGCAUGGUCGCUUUGAUCAUACUUGGCUUAAUCAAAUUGUCUAAUUACUCAUUUUAGAACCUAUGUGUAAUUGUCUUUUUUAAUUAAGCAACUAUCUUGAAAUGGGUCACGCGCACAUGUACCCAUUUGUUUGGCGCAUCAAAAAUCAUGUUACGCAAACGUGUCCAUGAUCAAUAACACUUUGUUAUUAUUACGAUUGAUUUUGGCCAAAUUUGCGAACGCAUACCUCGAUUUAUUUUUAAAAGAAUUGUAAUCAUGUCAUGCGAAUGUGUACACAAUUACAAUAGUUUGAUUAAACAAAAACAAAAACUAUAGUUCGAUUAUGAGAACUAGAAAAGAAAGCUUAUUAGCCUUAUUCCAAAUUAAUGAUACUACGACGUAUUUAAAAAUGAAAGAAGCUACUUUUGUGAAAAAGUUCAUUCCAAUCUUCUUUUGUUAGUUUAUUUACUCAAAGUGGGUAAACUAAGAUUGGCAACGAUGCAAUAAACUUAUCUUUACAAUCUCAGGAUCAAAUGCAAUAAACUUACUUUUACAGUGAUCGACCAACAGACAAUACAAAAUAAUCACUUAUAGAGACCAAACAAAAUAUAACUUGUAAUUAUAAUAGGAAUAGAGAUGGACCUUAGAAGGAGUUUUACUUCUGAUCUUUAUAGUAGGUGAGUCCAAGAACACCUCAGAAACCAGUACAGGAUUACGAUGAAGUGGAAUCUCAUCGGACGACACUCUAAUCUCGACGGAACUGAACAGGCCCAACGAACAGAGCUAGCGACCUACGAACUAGCUUUAACGGGACUCGAUCUCAAUAGAAACGUUACACUAAAUGGAACAACGAACUUGAAACUCAGUCGACAACCUCAAACGAACUCUCCACGAGCUUUAAACGAACUCCAUUGAUGAAAACAAAUUCCAUCGCCGGUUUCUGACCAUUUUCGGUGCUGAAGGAGUAGCAGCCGAUCUGCUGUGAGGUGAAGAAGAAGGAACAGCGACGAGGGGUAUGUUGGUGAAGGUUUUAUCGUUGGUGUGAGGUCAGAUCAUUCGGCUGCUGCUUCUCCUUUAAUCUCUUUGUGUUUUUGUUAUUGAAGAUGGUGAAGAAGCAGAACGGAUGGGAGGGUCUGACUCUUGGCUGAAGAGAGAUUCCUUUGGUCUCUAGUGUUGAAACGACUGAUAUAGAGUUGGAGUUUUGCUAGGGUUUUGUUUGUGAAGAAGGAAAUGAACUGAUGGGGGGUCUCAUUUAUUGUGUAUUGCAGUGGAUCUCUUAGGCGU